rnacentral:rRNA from 1 species
GACGAACGCUGGCGGCGUGCUUAACACAUGCAAGUCGAACGGUGAAGGGGUCUGCUUUUGUGGGCCCUGGAUGAGUGGCGAACGGGUGAGUAACACGUGAGUAACCUGCCCCCUUCUUCUGGAUAACCGCAUGAAAGUGUGGCUAAUACGGGAUAUUCUGGGUCUGUCGCAUGAUGGGUCUGGGAAAGAUUGCGCCUUUGGGUGUUUUUGGUGGGGGAUGGGCUCGCGGCCUAUCAGCUUGUUGGUGGGGUGAUGGCCUACCAAGGCGGUGACGGGUAGCCGGCCUGAGAGGGUGGACGGUCACACUGGGACUGAGACACGGCCCAGACUCCUACGGGAGGCAGCAGUGGGGAAUAUUGCACAAUGGGCGCAAGCCUGAUGCAGCGACGCCGCGUGAGGGAUGGAGGCCUUCGGGUUGUAAACCUCUUUCGCCAGUGAAGUAGGCCUGCUCCUUGUGGGUGGGUUGACGGUAGCUGGAGAAGAAGCGCCGGCUAACUACGUG